AAGUGAAUGAGUAGUAGAAGGGUAAGAAUAUGUAGGAUGAAAACAGAUUCCGGAAGCUGCAUAUGUGAGCAGACACAGGUAUUUUGAACUGCCUUCAAGUCUCUUAAUAAGUAAGGAAGUCGCUAUUAUUGGAUUAGUAGACCCACAUCACCAAAAUUUCUUGCCAUGACGACAUCACGUGUACUAGAGCAAUUCGGGUCAUACUUCGUGUUCAAUUCUGAUUUGAUUUCUUUUUUUUCGAGUAUGAUUGUCAACAAAAAACGAUAAAGACUUUUACAUCUCCAGUCGGCUGAACUCCAGUAAUUAAAGUUCGAUAUUGUUUAAAAAUUAAAAAAACAAACAAACAAAAAGAUGAAAUGAUGAAAUGAUUGAUGACGAUUUUAAAAAAGAUCAAAACUUGAAACUCAUAUCACAAGAAAUGGAGACAACAUUCAACUAUAAAGUUUUUCAGCGAGACAUGUACCGAUUGAUUCGGUCUUUGCAGGACUCUUGAUGUUUGCCUAAUCGGGUUAAAUUGUGGUGGUGUGGUAAUACGUACUAGCUCUCGUUUCUUUAUAUCCAACUGACGGCAUCGCUUGUACUUUUUUAAUAACUUCUUUUUCCUCUUCGUAUGGUGUGUAAACUGAAUGGAAACGAUGAACCCAUCAUGAACCUCACAUCAUUUGGUUCCGUCUAUUUAGUGCUCACCCAGUGUUGCUUUAUGAAAUGAAACAAUGGUUGAUGUUUUCAUCAAUCACCCAUGAAUUAGUUUGGGGUAAAUAUGAUUCUAUUAUUAUCUCUUUCUCAAAGUGCUAAGCGAUGAUGUACAUGUAUCUAUGUUUUCCAAAAUCUUUAUCUCAAUUUUUGAAACAGGACUUUUAAUAGUCUUUCAUAUCAGCAAUUGUUUCAGAAAAUGUUAACAACCAUCAAUAUUUACACAAAUGAUAUAAACACUGAUUUUACCAAGAUUACCAGCGAUAAAAUGAGUAAAUUAAGCUCUUUAGAAGUCUGAUGGUAAUUGAUAAAUAUCGUGUGGAAAGUAUACCGAAGUUUGGAAGAACAAGAACUUUGAAGGAUGAAUUUUCCGAAAUGUCUUUGGUAUUUGUAAUUUUACUACAUAUAUUUUAUUAACAGCAUUUUGAAAUUUUUUAAAAACUUAUUUCCUUGCCUUUGUAGCUCAGUCACCAUUACUUCAUUAAGCUAUUUGAGAAUUAUAUGUUUAUUAUAAAUACUCAUGAAUCUUUCCCAAGCAAACUUACCUUGAUCUAAUAAUUCUAACCAUUCGAUCCAUUUUUAUUUAUUUAACUUUUCAUUUCAUAUCUAUCUUGUUUGGUUUGUGAUAAACUCUUUUUUGGGAAUACAUUGGGUUUAAACUCUGAUUUGUAAAUUUAUUUUUAUUUUUAUUCUUAUUUAUUUUGUCACAUCUUUACUUGAGUGUUCAUGCGACAUUUGGAAAAACGGUGCAAUUGAGCAAGGCUGAAUUACUUAUUUUUACAUUUAUUGACCACUUUCAUUGAAGCUAAGCUAUAUAAUGAAUGCAACGGUUAUGUGAGAUUGAGUAAGAAGUGUUAUGGAAU
rnacentral:lncRNA from 1 species